rnacentral:lncRNA from 1 species
UUCAGAGAAUGAAGGUUGCGGAGAUGAGGAUGCUCAGGUGGAUGUGCGGGCUCACCAGGUUAGAUAAGAUUAAGAAUUAAGUUAUUCGAGAGAAGGUGGGGGUGGCCCCGGUGGAUGAGAAGAUGCGAGAAGCGAGGCUGAGAUGGUUUGGGCAUGUGCGCAGGAGAAGUCCUGAUGCCUCGGUAAGGAGUUGUGAGCGGCUGGCGAUGGUCGGAGUUCGGCGAGGCAGAGGGAGGCCUAAGAGGUAUUGGGGAGAGGUGAUAAGGCAUGACAUGGCUAGAAUGCGGGUUUUCCGAGGACAUGACCGUUGAUAGGAAAGUCUGGAAGUCUAGUAUCAGGAUUGUAGGAUAGGGGCUCCUAGAGUUUUUCGUACUCCUCACCCGGGGUUAGGUGAGGCUU